GCUCCACAGCCGCUUCUUCCAGCAGACAUACCUGACCCCCUGCCAGGUCACCGAGCUGGCCCGCCAACUGAACCUGACCUACAAGCAGGUGAAAACGUGGUUCCAGAACAAAAGGAUGAAGAUGAAGAGAUACAGCAGGGGCACCGACUUGCCACAAAAUCAAAGCUUCCCCCAGAGGUAUUGCCAGAUGCCCGGCUACCCAGACGGCCACAUCCUGCUCCACCAGGACAAUAGACCCCUCAGCAGCCACAUGCAGCACAACCUUGGCUAUCCUGACCACUUCCCGCCCCUGCAAGGCCCUGAGGAAGACU